GACGAACGCUGGCGGCGUGCUUAACACAUGCAAGUCGAACGGAAAGGCCCUGCUUUUGUGGGGUGCUCGAGUGGCGAACGGGUGAGUAACACGUGAUUAACCUGCCCUUGACUUUGGGAUAACUUCAGGAAACUGGGGCUAAUACCGGAUAGGAGCUCCUGCUGCAUGGUGGUGGUUGGAAAGUUUCGGCGGUUGGGGAUGGACUCGCGGCUUAUCAGCUUGUUGGUGGGGUAGUGGCUUACCAAGGCUUUGACGGGUAGCCGGCCUGAGAGGGUGACCGGCCACAUUGGGACAGAGAUACGGCCAAGACUCAUACGGGAGGCAGCAGUGGGGAAUAGUGCAAAAUGGGCGGAAGCCUGAAGCAGCAACGCCGCGUGGGGGAUGACGGCCGUAGGGUUGUAAACCGCUUGAGCCUGUGACGAAGCGUGAGUGACGGUAAUGGGUAAAGAAGCACCGGCUAACUACGUG
rnacentral:rRNA from 1 species